rnacentral:ncRNA from 1 species
CUUAAUUUGACUCAACACGGGGAAACUUACCAGGUCCAGACAUAGUAAGGAUUGACAGACUGAGAGCUCUUUCUUUUUUUUUUGAUUUAAAUGUAAAAAUAUUAUAAAUCAAUGAUGUUG